rnacentral:tRNA from 1 species
GGAGAGGUGCCGGAGUGGCCGAACGGAGCUGCCUGCUAAGCAGUUGACUCGGGAAACUGGGUCCCUGGGUUCAAAUCCCAGCCUCUCCG